rnacentral:lncRNA from 1 species
GCCCCGCAGAUCUGCAGGGAAGGAGAGGGCUGCGGCAGCGGCAGCUCCCCACUUUCCCGAUGGAGGAAAGGAGCCGAGGAAGGUAUUUCAGCCAAUCUUGAGGUUGCUUGGUGGUGAAUGGAUUGUAUCUGUGUUGUCAGGAGAGAGGUGGGGAGGACAGAGGAGUGCAGCGCAGGGGUUCGGGCUGUGAUUGUCGUUCUGACCGUGGUGCAUCCCAGUGCCCUCUCCCGCUCUUCCCGAGGGUCCUGACGCCCAGUGGCUGGCUGGGGUGGUUUGUGACCAACAGCCUUGUGGCCUGGCACCGAGUGAGGGUGACUGACAAGCACUGUAGGUGGCAGACAACCCCAAAUUGCCAGUGCCCUUCUUGGGAACACCCCUGGCAGAGUCGUGUCUGUAAUUUGUGGAGGCAGAAUAUGCUGGAAGCCGCGUUCCUGCUAAUGAUGGGAAGACGGGACACUUGGUAGGGGUCAUUUGUUGAGUGCGACUGGUUAGAUUGCGGGAAAUAGCACAAAACCCUGAUGAUGGAGAGAAGGGCUCUGAGUUCUCUUUGGCUCAGCUGCUGUGUAGCUUGGGGACUUCAGAGUCAGGGGGUCUCACUGUGUUGCCCAAGCAGGUCUUGAACCCCUAGGCUCAAGUGAUCCUCCUGCCCCAGCUUCCCAAGUAGCUGCUGGGUUAUAGGUUCAUACUACCGCAGCUGGUGGGAUUUCUCUUAAGUUAGAGGGGCUGGGCUGUAGCUGCAUUAUUUUGAGGGUCAUCCCAAGGCCCACCUUCCUGUCUAGUGAGGGCUCCAGAACACAAGUUCACUCUCAGAGUCUGUCGGGAGCCGCGGGGGGGAAUAGUGCUGGGCAUUUUGUCCCCAGUGCAGGAAUAAGGGUGCCAGCCAGUCCAGAGUGGGAUCCUGAGGCAGCUGAAGGGAUUUGCGUAACCUUUCAAGUCAUUGAGCUUGGCCAUCUCACCCUCCCACCUCUACUGGGCCCAGGCCCCAGUGAGGGAGGCGGGGCAGGCAGGCUGGAGGUGGGGGCUCCCUGGGCACCGGGACUUUCUCCACAGCAGCUUCUCAGGCAGUCCAGUUUUAGGCAGGCGUUUGUGGGGACCUUGCGGCUCUCUGAGUUCCCCACACCGGAGGCCCCUCAGGAUGCUCCUGUGUUUGCACGGGGCGCUUGCUGUGCUGUGUUCGCACACUUGGUCCACGGAAACAUCAUGAAGCCUGGCGUCCUCGUUGUGGGUGGGGUGCAGGGAGAGUUUAUAGUCCGGGCUGGGCCCUCCUUGGCUUUGUGACCUUCCAGAAGCCACCCAGUGCUCGGAGCUUCUGCUUCCGUGUGGUAACCAGGGUGUGUGAGGGGUUUCUGUCUCCAGCACUCAGUAAGCGCCUGAGAAGGGGUCACAGCAGCACUCACGCUGCUAGACAGUGCGGCAUCUGCAUCCGUGCCGGGCGCCCAGCUGGGACCUCUGGAGCAGCGCCUGGUGGGGGCACUGGUGAGGGAGAGGAGCCACCGGAUACGGCCGGCCUAGUGCAGUUGUGGGCCACUGGGUCGCACUGCUCAUCAGCUCCCCCCACCCCCCACUGAAAAGUGCCGUUUGUCUUCUGCGUGGAGAAAUGCAGCAGUGCCCUCCAUGCCUUGGAUUCGACUUUGAGGCACCUUUGCGGUCACUCCCCAUGCCAGGUAGCUGCUGCUGGAGGGGGCUCUGUGGCCAGCCCUGCUGUUGGCCCACGCAGCAUGCUAGUUCCCACACCCCUCCUCCCUGGCCAAGAGCUUGGAAGGAAGGACUCCUGGCUGCCACAGGGGCUGCCUUCCCUGGCUCACAUGCCUCCAGCCUGUGGCAGCUCCUCUCUGACCACACAGCGCUGCUUCCUCCUGUCCAGUGUGUGUUCUCACUUCCCUCUCUGGAAUGUCCACACCCCUCUGCCAACCCAAGACAGACAGGCCUGCCCGCAGCUCUCUCCUGAAGUCCAGUGGGAGGACUGUCCCCGGAGAACCUGGGGAACCUGCUGCCCCCACUCUGCCGGGUGUGAAUGCUCCAUUACCUGCCAGUUCCUGACUCACUUUCCUCACCUUCGAGCUGAGGCUGCCACUUGGGAGUGCCCUGGGAGCCCCCAGAGGGUUAGAUGAGGCCUAGGUUUGGCAUUGGCCCUUGGUGGGCUCUGCAAGUGGUGACUUAGGAGCUGAUUCCCUCCCAGGGUGCCUCCCUCCCAGGGGUCCCGCACCAACUGGGCCUGGGGCUCAGCACCGCCGCUCCCCUCUCUUGUGCUGCCCUCUGUCUUCACAUGUGUGUUUCUCCUGCCAUGCUGGCUGGUGGCCCCCAUUUAGCAUGCAUGGGUUCCCCGGGACGUGGGUUGCCACGUUGAGCUCACAGCCGUUCCUGCCACAGGAGUGCUGGUGCAGUUCCACUGCUCACAGGGAACUGGCUGUGAGGGGACCGCUCUGGGGAGGCCUCAUGGGGCUCCACAGUCCCAGCCUUGGACCAGCAGGGACCGUGUGUCCCAGCAAGCCUCAGGCCAGCCUUGUCCCCACUGGCCAUCUGCCUGCAGUGCUACCUUGGAAUUGGGUUGAUGCCAGUAGUUUUACCUGUAGUCGUUCAUACGUUUGUCCAUUCCUCUUGGAUCAGUUCUAGAAAAUGUGGUUUGACUGUUACUUUCUGACAUCACCAAGCCCUGACUCCAUCGCGCACCUGGCUGGUUUCAUGGCCGGCUGAGGCCCUGCUUAUUCCUCUGGGACCACAUCUCUGCCUCUGCCUCCCUCUUGGGAGCUGGGUUCCUUUCCUGGACCUCUUUUCCCACCCACGCCGAAGGAUUAGCGCCUCGAUGGUACUGACUCAUCUCUGACUGCAGUCCAGACUGCUCCCCAAGUUCUUCUGCUGUGCCAGCUGCCUGGCCAUCUGCAUUUGGACGGGGAGUCCCACAGAAAAUGUGGCUGCACGGGGACUUGUGCCCCUUGCCCUCGUCUUCCUGUCAUCUUUCCCAACCCAGCAGUGGCUCUGCAUGAAGUAGCCAGGGCCGGCACCCUCCAAUAGGAAGAACGGCUUAUUUUUCAGAGUGGCAAAUAAGGAAAAGAAUGAGAGUAUCUCAGAGUCUCUGUUUUCAGCGGCCCUCCUGGGAGAAACAUUUUUUAUAGACACCAGACGUCCUCGCCAGCCCCGCCAACUUUCCUUCCCCGGAUGGCCGUGGAGUGCUGGGGGUGGCCCCUCCCUCCCGAGCUGGUGCGAGGAGAGACCCGCACUGGCUGGGGUGGGCGCUGGGCAGGUGCCCUCAAGUGCACACUGCCACCCUGGCCCUGUGGCCACCUGUUCUUUGCUCUCGAGGCCCCAGGUCCCUGUGCCCACCAGCCGAGCUCUCUUUUGGGCUGUCCUUCUUACAUCCCAGACCUCAGAGUCUUCAUGACUUGACGGUGGACAGUUGACCUAGAUGAACGAUUGAUCUAGGUGGACAGUUGAUCUAGGUGCGGGUGGUUUGGGGGAAGGUGACUGUCAUCAAAUAAUCACUGAGUCAUUAAGCAAAUUGCAUAAUGUGUACAUGAAAGCCAGUG